UUCUGUAGCAAUGAAUCACAUUUAUUAAUAAACACACGAAAUAAAAUACAAAGAAAACAUGCGCUUGAGGGGAUAAUUCGUGUGUAUGUGAGUACGAGUCUCCAAUGGAGACAAAUGGGGGAUGCACAUACAGACAAAAGGGAGAAUACAUUCACCACAGUGGAUGGAAAAAGGCCAGCACAGAACAGAAUGGAAUGCAUACAGGGUUUAAUGCCGGAUUACAGAUGCCUGUGGCAACUGCUCUCAAUAAAUUAUAGUUAGAUCAAAGAAAAAUAGAACCCUUUGAUAAGAGAUUAACAAGUGCCAUUCUCAUAUGUACAACUGUAAUUAAAAACAACAACAACAACACAUUUUAACCCCUUACUUGAGAUACUAAGUUUUUUCCCAGUAUUAUUUAUGAGUUACUUCUGGCCACUCAGGAAUAAAAACAACUUUUUCAGUGUCUUACUUCUGUUACAACCAGCCACCAAAUAAGCACACAACCGUUAUUUUUAUGCAUACACCAAUAAUUCUGUAAUAAAGAAACACAAAAUUGGAUUUGGUUUCAUCUAUUUUCUACAGUCUUUUCUUGCCCUAGGAUAUAAUGAACAGAUGCACACUACUGUUUGCAGCUCAGUGUAAAAAAAAAAAGGACCUUUUUGAAAGGUCAGUGGAAAAUUAAGCAAUAAAGUCAGAAGUUGCUACAAAUGUGAAUAUCCUUCCAUCAUCUUAUCUGAAAUGUGAAGGCUGCUUUUUUGUUAACUUGUACCUUGUUUGGGAAUAUGCAUUCUGACUGUUCCCUUCCAGCAUCAGAAAAGUGAGCCGUCCAACACACAUUCUUCAGCAACUCUUGGGCUGCAGUUUUUUUCAGGUGCCUCAUGCAGAAAGGGGAAGGCUGCUCCAAAUCUGAGUGUUUUAAUGCUGCAAUCGUUUAGUAAUUCUAUCUUUGGUAAAAUUGUCUUCACAUGACUAUUUCACAUUUAUUAAAAAAUACACUCAGAUAGCAAAACUCAAAUCUUGCAUUACAGCUUUAUGAGUUCACAUCCUUGAACUGCUUCAUCUACACAUUUCUCAUCUUAAGGUAAAACCUACUAUUUUCUCCCACUAGUUCCUGGUUGUACAAAUCAUAAGUAGAAAGUUAACUGCACUUGUGGGGUGUGCUUAAUAGUUGACUUUACUUCUUAAUUAACUGGUAGUGACAGUUCUAAAAUUUUACUUGUGUUAAAUUCACUUGGUUCAACAGGCUGGAGGUCUGCUUCUCAGCUACAUGUAUUCCUGUAAGUGAUACUUACAACGCCCUGAGAGCUCAUUUUACCAGACAUUCAUUUCCAAGGAGAAGAUGUUUUCAUCUUGCCAUCAACAUUUUAUGGUUGAUAUGGUUGAUAUGGUUGGUAACCCUGGUGAAAGCAGCACCAUUUCCAAAAUCAUUAGCAUUGAGCUAUAAAAUUUUCCGUGAAAUCUGAGGCAUUAAGCUGAGGGAGUGGAGGCAUGCUCUUGGGAUUCAUUUCUUUAGAUUUACUAGAGCUAGUACCACAAAUUCACUGCUUGUGCUUCCGGGACAGAGACUGCAUACAGCAGUGAGCCUCUAAAAUGAAAUGACCAUUGCAGUGAAAUGCAUGGAGCAUACAAUAGCAUUCUAACUGCUGGGUAAAGCUUCAAAAGCACAUGGCUCUUUUUGUUUUGUCUCUUUUAAGAAUGAAUCAGCAACAUUUUUCUCUAGCUGCUGCUGAUUGCCUGACUUUCAUCAACAGAACUAUUCUUACCAUCUGUGCAGGUCUCUGGGUCACCUGGUGAUGAAUUCUGAGAUUAGGUGACAAAUAUCAGUUAUUUUUAAAAUGAAAUCUUUUAUCCCCAAGUCAAAAGAGGGGUGAGGGAAAUUCCUCUGCCUUCUAUGAUCCAACACAAAAGAAGGAAAGCCUAACAGGAAGUUGUGGGGACAAUCACGGAUCCAUCUGUACAGGGGUACAAACUCAGUAGUUAGGCAUGCCAAUAAAGCAUGUGCAAGUAUAUGAGUUUGGCUGUGACCGUGAGUUUGACCUUUUGAAAAUAAGGCUCAAGAACACUGAAAAUGAGAGAAAAGAAUUUCCUAGAUCCAUUUGGGCUGGAAAUCAGGCAAAGUUGGUUAUCAGUCUGAGAUUUCCUAAACUUCCCAGACACAGGAAAGCCAGGAGCCCAGCGGACAUAAAACGUUUCACUAUUUCUCUUCCAUUUCCUGCCUCUACAAAGAACUGCAGAAAGAUAUUAGAAAAACAAAAUUCAAACACAAUAUAACUCAUCAAAACUGGGCUACAUGCACAAACUGCAAUUUCUUGGCAAUGGACUGGGUGAUUUCUGAUUUCCUCCAGACCAGCUCUCCCACUCCUGCUGCUGAAUAGAGAAGUGAUGCCCUUUCAUCUCUUUACAAUAUAAUGUGGUAUAAAAGCACAGGAUUACUCAGCAGGAUUGAAUGGCCACUCACUUAACAAAAAGACAAUGCUAUGAUCUGGAUCAGAGCAUCAGAGAAUGCAGUGACCUCUUCUUUCUGUUCUGAUGAGAACAUCACUGGUGGUCACCUGGUGAGAACCCUUGGUUAUCUGACAAGGUGGGUGAGUCUGAAGAGACACACAAAAAGCAAAGUUGAUAGAAAUUUUGUAAGUGGGGUGUGUGUUCAAUACAGGCAGAGUAUGGGCCUAGCUCAGGCUCAGCAAGAGCUGGCUAGGCAGUGGCAAGUGACUUUUUGCAUUCUUUAACAGAGACUUUAGUGAAUUUUGGGGAACAAAGGCCUACAGCACAUUCACCUUAUUUAUCUGGCCCUGGUGUGAAGAUGCCUCUGCUGAGAGAAAAUUGCUGUGAGGGAAAUAUUUGGUAUUUUCUCUUUUGAAAUAUCAACAAACUAAAAACAGUGCCUGCAGAUUAAUGCAUUGCAGUUUCCAGGCCCAGAGAAACCAAUUUAAAUCAGUUGCUCCUUUUUCUUCCUCUUUUUCUUGAAAUGAAACAGAAUACAGAAGUCCAUCCCAAAGUGCCAUAACAGACUCCUUUAAUACUUUGACAUGUUAGAGAGGGCACAAGGCUUUUUCCAAGUCCAUCAUCUGACACAAUUUUUUUUUCUUUAGCUCCCAAGUUCUUCCAAAUGGCUGAAAAUGAUGAAUGAAGAUGAUGACAGGAAAACAGGGGAAAGGAUUAACCAAAACUUAAUCAAAAAAAGAAUUGGACCCCUUUAAAUACAAUGAAUGCCAAUCUAUGUGGUAGGGUGCAAAGCAGGCCUUGCUAAACAAGUCUCUUUCCACACCAUGACAGGUAUGGUUGAGAGUAGCACGUGUGUUACUGCAGUUUAUUAGAGACUUGCCAAAGCAUUUCACUCAUAGCAUGUGUUGGUAUGAUUAAAAAGUAUGCAUUAUAUGGAAUUAAAAGGAUGCACUUUGGAAGAACUAAGAGCUGGCUCCCUGACAGAUUGCAGCGUGUCAGUCUUAGUGCAGAGAGAGCAAACGGGUGGAACUAUUUCCAGCAGAUUCCCACAAGGAUCAGUUCCUGGCCCAACAUCGUUUAGUAUUUUCAUCACGUGUCCAAACAAUGGUGUAAAAUCAGUCCCAAGAUGGUUGGGAACUGGAGCACUUACAGUGGAAGAAAUGGCUAUAGGAACUGGGCUUGCUCAACCUGAAGAAGAAAAAGUCCAAGGAUACGUUGUAGAACAGUAAGAGGUUAUGAAGAAGGCAGAGCCAGGCUUGUUAUAGGCGUCUACAGGAGGCGAGACAGAGACCACGGUCAUAAGUUGAAAUGGGGGAAGUUUCAACUGUAUAUAAGAAAAAAAAUUGCUAUCGGGAUACUCAGGCAUUAGAGCAGGAUGACCGUUAUGAAAUCUCUGUCCUUGGAGGUUUUCAGGAGCUGACUGGAUGAAACCCUGAGCAACCUUAUUCGUAUUAUAUUUUGGUCCUGUUUGGAGCAGAAGUUUGGACUAGAUUAUAUCCCAAGGUUCCUCCUGCUAUAGCAUAUUAUGAGUAUAAUCUAGUUGAUUCUGCCUGGAGAGACACUUGGGAAUUCUGUUAGAUAACUGUUUCAAUGCAUACUGUAAUGUAGUGCUACAGGGAAAUGCAGUGUCUGGAUGCCAUACUUAAAAGUAUUCAAGAAGAAAUAGAUGCUAGUAGAAUUCCAUGUCCAAACUUAAAACAGUAGAAACACUGGAGAGCAUUCAAAAGAACACUGGCACAUCUUCCUGAAGCACUCCAGAGAUGAUUGUAUCACCCAAAACUAGAGCAUCCCUUAUGCUUAAAAAGAAAAAAGGUAUCAUACUUGGGACAGUGGUACUAACAAGCUCUCAGGCAAAUGUAGAGUAAGAUUCAGUAUGGAAAGCUCUAAUUUAGACAGUGUGAAAUUCAAGAUAAAACACUGAGGGAAAGGCAGAAAAUGUCACUUUGGAGUGAAGCUGAAUUCUCCAUUGCUAAUCAAAAGCACUAGAUGUGUUUUACUGCAGAGCAGUUGCCAGCCUGGGUACCUGCUGGAUUAUCACCAUGACCAGGAUUUCAAAUCACUCUCUCAUUGUAUAGAUGAAAACUUGUUCUGCAGCCAUCUAGCUUUCCUUUUCUGACUGAUUGAGUUUGUUCUGCAGUACUUAUGAAUGGCAGAAACCUUUUUUUACAACUCCAUAUUGGCACAAACAAACCCCGUUGCCACAGCUGAGCACAUAAAAACGUAGUAAGAUGUUACAUGAACAUAACAUUGGCACAGGUUCUGGAUACACAGAACUUGACCAACAUUGCUGACUGAAGGCCGAGUGCACAGCCAGCAGAUAACGCCUCUGACAGAGAACUGUUCUGGUGACUUAAGCUGCACUUUGUUGCUUAACUGAGAGCCAUUCUGGUGAACUAGCCAGAUUCACAUGU
ensembl:lncRNA